rnacentral:rRNA from 1 species
AACGAACGCUGGCGGCAGGCCUAACACAUGCAAGUCGAGCGAGCAUUUCGGUGCUAGCGGCGGACGGGUGAGUAACGCGUGGGAACGUGCCCUUUUCUGCGGAAUAGUCCUGGGAAACUGGGGGUAAUACCGCAUACGCCCUUUUGGGGAAAGAUUUAUCGGAGAAGGAUCGGCCCGCGUUGGAUUAGGUAGUUGGUGGGGUAAUGGCCCACCAAGCCGACGAUCCAUAGCUGGUUUGAGAGGAUGAUCAGCCACACUGGGACUGAGACACGGCCCAGACUCCUACGGGAGGCAGCAGUGGGGAAUCUUAGACAAUGGGGGCAACCCUGAUCUAGCCAUGCCGCGUGAGUGAUGAAGGCCUUAGGGUUGUAAAGCUCUUUCAGCUGGGAAGAUAAUGACGGUACCAGCAAAAGAAGCCCCGGCUAACUCCGUG